GUGGGGAAUAUUGGACAAUGGGCGCAAGCCUGAUCCAGCCAUGCCGCGUGGGUGAUGAAGGCCCUAGGGUUGUAAAGCCCUUUCGGCGGGGAAGAUAAUGACGGUACCCGCAGAAGAAGCCCCGGCUAACUUCGUGCCAGCAGCCGCGGUAAUACGAAGGGGGCUAGCGUUGCUCGGAAUCACUGGGCGUAAAGCGCACGUAGGCGGCUUCUUAAGUCAGGGGUGAAAUCCUGGAGCUCAACUCCAGAACUGCCUUUGAUACUGGGAGGCUCGAGUCCGGAAGAGGUGAGUGGAACUGCGAGUGUAGAGGUGAAAUUCGUAGAUAUUCGCAAGAACACCAGUGGCGAAGGCGGCUCACUGGUCCGGUACUGACGCUGAGGUGCGAAAGCGUGGGGAGCAAACAGGAUUAGAAACCCCGGUAGUCC
rnacentral:rRNA from 1 species